AGUGAACGCUGGCGGUAGGCCUAACACAUGCAAGUCGAACGGCAGCACAGGAGAGCUUGCUCUCUGGGUGGCGAGUGGCGGACGGGUGAGGAAUACAUCGGAAUCUACCUUUUCGUGGGGGAUAACGUAGGGAAACUUACGCUAAUACCGCAUACGACCUACGGGUGAAAGUGGGGGACCGCAAGGCCUCACGCGAUUAGAUGAGCCGAUGUCCGAUUAGCUAGUUGGCGGGGUAAUGGCCCACCAAGGCGACGAUCGGUAGCUGGUCUGGGAGGAUGAUCAGCCACACUGGAACUGGGACACGGUCCAGACUCCUACGGGAGGCAGCAGUGGGGAAUAUUGGACAAUGGGCGCAAGCCUGAUCCAGCCAUACCGCGUGGGUGAAGAAGGCCUUCGGGUUGUAAAGCCCUUUUGUUGGGAAAGAAAUCCUGUCGAUUAAUACUCGGUGGGGAUGACGGUACCCAAAGAAUAAGCACCGGCUAACUUCGUGCCAGCAGCCGCAGUAA
rnacentral:rRNA from 1 species